rnacentral:lncRNA from 1 species
UGCAAGGGGAAAAGGCCAAGUAACAAACAAAGGCCGACAUAUCAGUAAUUACAGCUGACUUCUCAACAGAGAAUCCAAAAUGUAGAAAGGCCUGGACAGACAUGUGUAACUUAUAAAAACCCAUAGAUGCCAACUUACACUACUAUACUCAUUAAUUAUCUCAAUAACCAUAGAUAGAGAAAACAUAUUUUAGACAAAUAAAUUCAAACAAUAUGUAUCUAGAAAUCCAGUCCUUCAAAAGGAAAACUCCAACCCAAGAAUGAUAACUAUAUCCAAGAAAAGACACACAGACACACACACACACAUACACACACACACACACACAAAACCACCAUCACUGCCACCACCACCAUCACCACCACCACCAAUAUCAAAAUAAGAGGAAGAAAAAAGUCGCUGGCCAUUAAUAUCUUUCAACAUCAAUGGACUCAAUUGCCCAAUACAAAGACACAAGCUAAGAGAAUGGAUGCAAAUUCAGGACCCAUCAUUUUGGGGUAUUAAAAAAACACACUACAAUAAUAAAAGAUAGACACUACCUCAGAGUAAAGCCUGGAAAAAAGUUUAUCAAGCAAUCAGACCCAAGAAGAAGGCUGAAGUAGCCAUUCUAAUAUCUAAUAAAAUAGACUUUCAGCUAAAAUUAAACAAAAGGGACAGGGAAGGAAACGUCAUACUU